AUGGUCGCCGCCCGCGUCUUCCAGCUCACCCGCGAGCUCGGCCACCGCACCGACGGCGAGACCAUCGAGUGGCUGCUCCGCCAGGCCGAGCCUUCCAUCAUCGCCGCCACCGGCACCGGCGUCACCCCGCAGGAGGCGCCCCCCGCCGCCGUCCCCGUCGCCCCGUUCGUGCAGGUGCCCUACUACACCGCGCUCCUCAUGCAGCCGCCCAGCGCCGACGAGCCGCCCCUCGCGUCCGCGCCGCCCGCCGGCGAGGAGAACAAGUAA
rnacentral:rRNA from 1 species